rnacentral:rRNA from 1 species
CAAUAGCGUAUACUAACGUUGUUGCAGUUAAAAGCUCGUAGUUGGAUUUUUAAGGGCGGCUUUCACUAGGGACCUUUCGUGUCUCUAAUGUGGCAGACGCUUCUUAUUUUGCCUCAGAGCCUGGUUGGGAUUCAUUUCUUGAUCAAGCUUCCGGGGCGUGUUUACUUUGAGAAAAUUAGAGUGUUCAAAACAGUCUUGUGAUUGUAUAUCAUAGCAUGGAAUAAUGGAAUAGGACCUCGGUUCUAUUUUGUUGGUUUUCGGAACUUGAGGUAAUGAUUAAGAGGGACAGACGGGGGCAUUCGUAUGAUGGUGUUAGAGGUGAAAUUCUUGGAUCGCCGUCAGACGGACUACUGCGAAAGCAUUUGCCAAGAAUGUUUUCAUUAAUCAAGAACGAAAGUCAGAGGUUCGAAGAUGAUUAGAUACCGU